rnacentral:rRNA from 1 species
AACGAACGCUGGCGGCAGGCUUAACACAUGCAAGUCGAACGGCUGUAGCAAUACAGCAGUGGCAGACGGGUGAGUAACACGUGGGAACCUUCCUAGGGGUACGGAACAACUCAGGGAAACUUGAGCUAAUACCGUAUACGUCCGUGAGGAGAAAGAUUUAUCGCCCUUAGACGGGCCCGCGUCGGAUUAGGUAGUUGGUGGGGUAACGGCCUACCAAGCCUACGAUCCGUAGCUGAUCUGAGAGGAUGAUCAGCCACACUGGGACUGAGACACGGCCCAGACUCCUACGGGUGGCAG